rnacentral:lncRNA from 1 species
GAAACUCUGGAGCCUUCAUCAGACUUGUUGAAAUGAUUGGGAGAAAGCUAGGAAAUUCGUGAAACAAAGGAGACUGAAGACUUGAUUUCUUCCUUGGAUGCUGAUCUUUUCGCUGAAUGUACGCUCUGAAAGGGCAGGGGUCUUUGUAGCCCCUAGAAGGUGACUGGCACAUGGAAGCCUUCAGUAAGUCUUCGUGAAAGAAUGAACGGAUGAAAAGAAAUACGAAGCAUGCUUACCAAAGAACCAUCAAUGACUCAGGUGGCCGAUAAUGGAAUGUGCUGCCUUAGAAGAGGUAGGUUCCCUGUCAAGUGAUUACUUAAAUCAGAAUUUGAGUAAAUGUCUUUAAGUAGUGCUAUAAAUAGAUUUCUAUAUGACUUCUAACCUGAGAUUCUCUCCAACUUUAAAGUCCCCUGACGAUGGUUUUGUUACUGCUUCUACUUAAGAACUUACAAAGGCUUCCUAUUGCCUACCUAAGUAACUCACUUUCCUUUUUUCAAGGCCCUGCUUACUUUGAUCCCACUCUGGUUUUUUUCCAGUACUUUUGAAAAGCUUUUCUCAUCCCACAC